rnacentral:miRNA from 1 species
CAACAACAGCCGGAGGGCUGG